rnacentral:rRNA from 1 species
AUGAUGUGGUUUAAUUCGAUGAUACGCGAGGAACCUUACCUGGGCUUAAAUGGGGAGUGACAGCUGUCGAAAGAUGGUUUUCUUCGGACACUCUUCAAGGUGCUGCAUGGUUGUCGUCAGCUCGUGCCGUGAGGUGUCGGGUUAAGUCCCAUAACGAGCGCAACCCUUACCGUUAGUUACCAUCAGGUUAAGCUGGGGACUCUAGCGGGACUGCCACCGUAAGGUGAGAGGAAGUGGGGAUGACGUCAAAUCAGCACGGCCCUUAUGUCCAGGGCUACACACGUGUUACAAUGGCCAGUACAAAGGGCAGCUACCGGGUGACCGGAUGCUAAUCUCUAAAGCUGGUCUCAGUUCGGAUCGAAGUCUGCAACCCGACUUCGUGAAGCUGGAUUCGCUAGUAAUCGCGCAUCAGCCAUGGCGCGGUGAAUACGUUCCCGGGCCUU